rnacentral:lncRNA from 1 species
GAUGCACCCUCCAGAGAGACUGUCGCCCUUCCGGCAGGUGUAGGCUUCCCGUGGUCAGCACCAAGGGUGCCAUCUUUGGUCCCCCUUAAGGCUGUGCUAGCUCACCUCAUGCUGUUCGCAUGUGUUCCAGAUCAGACCUACUGUGACCGGCUGGUACAGGACACUCCUUUCCUGACAGGACAGGGUCGCCUGAGUGAGCAACAAGUAGACAGGAUCAUCCUCCAGCUGAACCGUUACUACCCACAAAUCCUUACCAACAAGGAGGCUGAAAAGGUGCUGAGGGGUGAGCGGGAC